CCUACGGGAGGCAGCAGUGGGGAAUAUUGCGCAAUGGGCGAAAGCCUGACGCAGCGACGCCGCGUGGAGGAUGAAGGUCUUAGGAUUGUAAACUCCUGUCAGGGAAAUUUCGGUACCAUCAGAGGAAGCACCGGCUAACUUCGUGCCAGCAGCCGCGGUAAUACGAAGGGUGCAAACGUUAUUCGGAAUCACUGGGCGUAAAGGGUGCGUAGACGGUAUGUUAAGUUUGUCGUUAAAGACUCCGGCCUAACCGGAGCACCGCGAUGAAAACUGGCGUACUAGAGGGUGAGAGAGAGAAGUGGAAUUCCUGGAGUAGCGGUAAAAUGCGUGGAUCUCAGGAGGAACACCAAUGGCGAAGGCAGCUUCUUGGCUCAUCCUGACGUUGAGGCACGAAAGCGUGGGGAGCAAACAGGAUUAGAUACCCUGGUAGUC
rnacentral:rRNA from 1 species